rnacentral:rRNA from 1 species
GAUGAACGCUGGCGGCGUGCCUAAUACAUGCAAGUCGAGCGAACGGACGAGAAGCUUGCUUCUCUGAUGUUAGCGGCGGACGGGUGAGUAACACGUGGAUAACCUACCUAUAAGACUGGGAUAACUUCGGGAAACCGGAGCUAAUACCGGAUAAUAUUUUGAACCGCAUGGUUCAAAAGUAAAAGACGGUCUUGCUGUCACUUAUAGAUGGAUCCGCGCUGCAUUAGCUGGUUGGUAAGGUAACGGCUUACCAAGGCAACGAUGCAUAGCCGACCUGAGAGGGUGAUCGGCCACACUGGAACUGAGACACGGUCCAGACUCCUACGGGAGGCAGCAGUAGGGAAUCUUCCGCAAUGGGCGAAAGCCUGACGGAGCAACGCCGCGUGAGUGAUGAAGGUCUUCGGAUCGUAAAACUCUGUUAUUAGGGAAGAACAUAUGUGUAAGUAACUGUGCACAUCUUGACGGUACCUAAUCAGAAAGCCACGGCUAACUACGUG